GGCUCCACUACAGGUGGACAGUUGUCUG
rnacentral:sRNA from 1 species